CCUACGGGUGGCUGCCGUGGGGAAUAUUGGGCAAUGGGCGCAAGCCUGACCCAGCAAAGCCGCGUGAAGGAAGCAGGCUUUCGGGUUUUUAACUUCUUUUGAUAGGGAAGAGUAGAAGACGGUACCUGACGAAUAAGCCACGGCUAACUACGUGCCAGCAGCCGAGGUAAUACGUAGGUGUGAAGCGUUGUCCGGAUUUACUGGGUGUAAAGGGCGUGUAGCCGGGUUGACAAGUCAGAUGUGAAAGCCUGCGGCUUAACCGCAGAACUGCAUUUGAAACUGUUGAUCUUGAGUACUGGAGAGGCAGAUGGAAUUCCUAGUGUAGCGGUGAAAUGCGUAGAUAUUAGGAGGAACACCAGUUGCGAAGGCGGUCUACUGGACAGCAACUGACGGUGAGGCGCGAAAGCGUGGGGAGCAAACAGGAUUAGAUACCCUUGUAGUC
rnacentral:rRNA from 1 species